ensembl:lincRNA
AGCUUCAGAGUCCAUCCCCGGGGUCCGUGCCCCACCGGGAACCCCUGGCCAUCUCUCUCUCUGCCGCCCCCCUCCAAGUGGGGGCAGGUAGGGGACGCUCUAGAAGUGCCAACCGCGUCCUGCCUGUCCCACCGUGGUUUAAACACUGCGUUUUGCUUUUUUCGGCGAUCAGUUUCUGCUGGGUUCCGCGUUGGCUGCAAAGGCAAAGCGGGCCUUUUCCUCCUCGGCCUGAGGACAGCGGAGCCAGCGCUGCGCAGUUGCACUGAUCAGCCAGCUGAGGCUUUUUGGCCUUGCCUGCGGGUUUCCUGUUCAUCGUCCCUGCUAGAUUGUGAAGUUCUUGUUCUGUGCUCUGCACUGUGUGAGAAUCUCUUUUCAGUUGCUGUACCUGUCAACCUGUCUAAUUGAAGAAUUUCCAAGAAGUCAGAGUGCAGGAACCUCCCAACAAAAGACUAUUCCUCUACACCUGCAAUGGAAAGACCCUAGGCGGAAGGAGAAUUGUCUGAGUGUGCCAACCAACGCAACUGUGGCGAGCGCCGUGAGCUGUCCGUGGUUCUGAACCUUCUAUUUCAGGGAAACUGAGUGUCCUUCUCUAUACUGUCUUUGUCCUCCGGUCCCAUGUUCACACUAACCCUACCCCAGGCUGGGGUAAUAUGCUGGCAUCAGAGAGAACCAGCUGUGCGGUGACAAUCAAGGGUUUAACAACAUCUAGUAAAAGUGAAUAGAAGGAGAAGGUUUGCGCCUUUACUCUUUCUCCUUCCACCCUCCCUCUCAGGAGUCAUCUGACCAUUAUAAUAAAAACUCUAGCUUUAUGUAAAUACCCUAUUCUCCAAGUAAUAAAUGGCAUUAGCUGAGCCUGUCUGAGCAACCACAGGCUUUUAAACAGCCAUUUGAAGCUCUUUGAAAGCUCUCCGGAGGCUCUUGCCCAUAAUUCACUAAGUGGGAGUUGGAAAUAACUGUGUUAAGUAGCCAGGCCCAGGGAUUCGCAGGAGGUGAGUCUGUUUCUGUGUUGUCGUUGUUGGUGGGGGUUCUGGGAAGAGGAUGCCCUUCCUUCAUGCUGAUCGGGUACUCAUUUUUAAGAGUCCCCCUGGGCGCUCACAGUCCUUUGAUGAGCUACUAAUGAAAGAGCGAGAUCUGACAAUUAAUUUCCCAAGAGUUAUUAUUUGUUGUUUUGGCAACAAUUCUCUGAAAAGCCUUAAUACUCACCUGGCCUCCCAAUGGUUGAGGAAUGCCAUGGGUUGAAGGGGAAAAUGGAUUUUAUCUGUUUAUUCAACAGUUAUGGAUUAAGCACCUACUGUGUCCAAGACACUACUAAGCACACUCCUUCCUUCAGGGAGCCCCCAGUCUAGGAGGAGCAUGAUAUGGAGGUAAACACGUAGUAAAAAUACAGUGUGACACUUGCUGUGUAGGGGACAGUAUAGCGAGCUAUAGGAGUGGAAAAGCAGCAAAUAAUCCAGAUGAAAAGAUUCAAUAAUCCAGAUGAAAAGAUUUCCAAGAAGAAGAAUCCUUAAUGAUGACCUACAGCUAUCAAGAUAAAUAAGAGAUUGGAGAAAGGAAAUGUUCUAGGAAGAAAGACCAGCAUUUUAAAAGACUGUAAGAGAGAGAAGUCACCCAUAAAAUUCUGAUAGAUUUUGGAGUAGUAAGAAUUCUCAUUUACUGCUGGUGGGACUGUAAAUUACUAUUGCCAUUUUGGAAAGCAGUUGGACAUUAUCUAGUAAAGUUG